ACGGGAACCCCGUCAGCGAUGUCUGCUUUAUAAAUCUCACUGACGAAAUAUUUUUCCACAGAUCGAAACCCUAAUUUCUUCGCCGCCGCGCGCCCUCGUUCCCCUCUCUCAGCUCAGCCACUCGCCGCCGGCGAACACCGCACUCUCGCGGCCAGCCUAGCCCGCGCCAUCACCUUCCCCUCCCCCUCUUCGACUCCACCAUCCGUGGCCCCGAUCAAGCUCACCGACGACCUUGGAGCUCGCCGCCGCACCGCCCCGUCGCCGACUCGAACAGUGGGCGCCUGAGCUCUCUCGUCUCCUCACCCGUCAGCAGCCGCAGGAGGUCUAAGUGAGUCUUACGUUUUGUUGGAUUGCAUUGCAGGAGAUCCAAGCGAUGUCUAAAAAUAUUAACAGGAGGUUAUUCGAAGCUAACCCCAG